UUCUCAAGGUUGACCUCGGAUCAGGUAGGAAGACCCGCUGAACUUAA
rnacentral:rRNA from 1 species